rnacentral:rRNA from 1 species
UACGUAGGGUGCAAGCGUUGUCCGGAAUUAUUGGGCGUAAAGAGCUCGUAGGCGGUCUGUCGCGUCGGCUGUGAAAACUCGGGGCUCAACCCCGAGCCUGCAGUCGAUACGGGCAGACUAGAGUGCUGUAGGGGAGACUGGAAUUCCUGGUGUAGCGGUGAAAUGCGCAGAUAUCAGGAGGAACACCGGUGGCGAAGGCGGGUCUCUGGGAAGUAACUGACGCUGAGAAGCGAAAGCAUGGGUAGCAAACAGG